rnacentral:rRNA from 1 species
UACGGAGGGUCCAAGCGUUAUCCGGAAUCAUUGGGUUUAAAGGGUCCGUAGGCGGUCAGGUAAGUCAGUGGUGAAAGCCCAUCGCUCAACGGUGGAACGGCCAUUGAUACUGCCUGACUUGAAUUACUAGGAAGUAACUAGAAUAUGUAGUGUAGCGGUGAAAUGCUUAGAUAUUACAUGGAAUACCAAUUGCGAAGGCAGGUUACUACUAGUGGAUUGACGCUGAUGGACGAAAGCGUGGGGAGCGAACAGG